UUGCCAGACUCACCCUACAGAGUCAGAGAACAACAGAUGAGAAAAGGAGAAAGAAGCUGAAUCACUGGUUAAACCCUAGAAUGAAUUUAUGAGAAAUGUUUGCUAUUUCACGUCACUAUUUCCUGAUGUUUCUUUAACCGUUUCUCUAUGAUGUUGAUAAGUUUAAUGCUCGGCUCCCCAAAGUCUUAGAUGAACAAUAUGCAACUGUACUAUAACUGAACUACACUGUAUUAACCAUUGAAGUAAAAAAAAAGGUUCUUACAUCAUCAUAAACCAAAAUGUAAAAAUGAUAUGGAUUACUUACAUCCUCUCCGUUCUUUCCAGGGGGACCAGCAGCACCACGGGGACCCAUUGGACCCUAAAGCAGGAGAGCAGCAGAAAAAAAAUCCAAGUUAGGAAAUACCAUUUGUGUCCAUGGGUUUGUAGGAUCAUGUGUGCAUUUUUACCAUGGGGCCUGGAACAGCCAUUCCACCUCCGGAUUUCUCAUCAAAGCCACCAGACAUCUGAGGAGAAAAGUUCUGUGGAGGGACAAGAAGAAAAAGCAAAGACCUGAUUCCGGCCUAGACAAACUCUGGAAGUUUUGCACCUGGCCUGAAGGUACAUUUAAGUUACACCUUUUACCGGUUGGAGAAAUUUAGUAUUUUCCUAAUUUAGGAUUAGAU